rnacentral:rRNA from 1 species
GUAGGUGGCAAGCGUUGUCCGGAAUUAUUGGGCGUAAAGUGCGCGCAGGUGGUUCGUUUAAGUCUGAUGUGAAAGACCCCCGGGCUCAACCCGGGGAGGGUCAUUGGAAACUGGGGAACUUGAGUGCAGGAGAGGAAAGUGGAAUUCCACGUGUAGCGGUGAAAUGCGUAGAUAUGUGGAGGAACACCAGUGGCGAAGGCGACUUUCUGGCCUGUAACUGACACUGAGGCGCGAAAGCGUGGGGAGCAAACAGGAUUAGAUACCCUGGUAGUCCACGCCGUAAACGAUGAGUGCUAAGUGUUGGGGGGUUUCCGCCCCUCAGUGCUGCAGCUAACGCAUUAAGCACUCCGCCUGGGGAGUACGGUCGCAAAGACUG